rnacentral:rRNA from 1 species
GCCAGGGAAUUACGAGCCCAAGCUUAAAACCCAAAGGACUUGACGGUUUUCCAUCCCCCUAGAGGAGCCUGUUCUAUAAUCGAUUUUCCCCGAUUAACCUCACCAUCUCUUGAAUUUACAGCCUGUAUACCUCCGUCGCAAGCUUACCCUGUGAGCGCAUAUUAGUGAGCUUAAAGAUUCUACACCCAUACGUCAGGUCAAGGUGCAGCCCACGAGAUGGAAAGAAAUGGGCUACAGUUUCUUCUUCAGAACAAACGAAAGAUUAUAUGAAAUAUAAUCUGAAGGCGGAUUUAGUAGUAAAAGGAAAAUAGAGAGUUCCUUUUAACCGGGCACUGGAAUGCGUACACACCGCCCGUCACCCUCUUCAAACAAUAAACAACGUCAUUAACACUAUAUACCCUUAUAGAAGAGGCAAGUCGUAACAUGGUAAGCGUACUGGAAAGUGUGCUUGGAAUAACAAAAUAUAACUUAACAAAAGUAUCUUGUUACACCAAGAAUAUGUCUGUAAAAAUCUGACUAUUUUGAGCUUAAAACCUAGCCCACAUAUACUUAAUGAAAUAUCUAAAUCAACAAAAUAAACUAAAACAUUUUCUUUACUUAGUAAAGGCGAUCAAAAAGUACCUAGGAG